rnacentral:rRNA from 2 species
UUAGCGGCGGACGGGUGAGUAACACGUGGGUAACCUGCCUGUAAGACUAGGAUAACUCCGGGAAACCGGGGCUAAUACUGGAUAACUUUUCUCUCCGCAUGGAGAGAGAUUGAAAGAUGGCUUCGGCUAUCACUUACAGAUGGACCCGCGGCGCAUUAGCUAGUUGGUGAGGUAACGGCUCACCAAGGCAACGAUGCGUAGCCGACCUGAGAGGGUGAUCGGCCACAUUGGGACUGAGACACGGCCCAAACUCCUACGGGAGGCAGCAGUAGGGAAUCUUCCGCAAUGGACGAAAGUCUGACGGAGCAACGCCGCGUGAGUGAAGAAGGUCUUCGGAUCGUAAAACUCUGUUGUUAGGGAAGAACAAGUAUCGUUCGAAUAGGGCGGUACCUUGACGGUACCUAACCAGAAAGCCACGGCUAACUACGUGCCAGCAGCCGCGGUAAUACGUAGGUGGCAAGCGUUGUCCGGAAUUAUUGGGCGUAAAGCGCGCGCAGGCGGUCUUUUAAGUCUGAUGUGAAAGCCCACGGCUCAACCGUGGAGGGUCAUUGGAAACUGGAAGACUUGAGUGCAGAAGAGGAGAGUGGAAUUCCACGUGUAGCGGUGAAAUGCGUAGAGAUGUGGAGGAACACCAGUGGCGAAGGCGACUCUCUGGUCUGUAACUGACGCUGAGGCGCGAAAGCGUGGGGAGCAAACAGGAUUAGAUACCCUGGUAGUCCACGCCGUAAACGAUGAGUGCUAAGUGUUAGAGGGUUUCCGCCCUUUAGUGC